rnacentral:rRNA from 1 species
GGCGAACGCUGGCGGCGCGCCUAACACAUGCCAGUCGAACGAGCGAGAGAGAGCUUGCUUUCUCGAGCGAGUGGCGAACGGGUGAGUAACGCGUGAGGAACCUGCCUCAAAGAGGGGGACAACAGUUGGAAACGACUGCUAAUACCGCAUAAGCCCACGACCCGGCAUCGGGUAGAGGGAAAAGGAGCAAUCCGCUUUGAGAUGGCCUCGCGUCCGAUUAGCUAGUUGGUGAGGUAACGGCCCACCAAGGCGACGAUCGGUAGCCGGACUGAGAGGUUGAACGGCCACAUUGGGACUGAGACACGGCCCAGACUCCUACGGGAGGCAGCAGUGGGGAAUAUUGCACAAUGGGGGAAACCCUGAUGCAGCGACGCCGCGUGGAGGAAGAAGGUCUUCGGAUUGUAAACUCCUGUUGUUGAGGAAGAUAAUGACGGUACUCAACAAGGAAGUGACGGCUAACUACGUG